rnacentral:rRNA from 1 species
UACGAAGGGUGCAAGCGUUACUCGGAAUUACUGGGCGUAAAGCGUGCGUAGGUGGUGAGUUAAGUCUGUCGUGAAAGCCCCGGGCUCAACCUGGGAAUGGCGAUGGAUACUGGCUCGCUAGAGUGCGGUAGAGGAGAGUGGAAUUCCCGGUGUAGCAGUGAAAUGCGUAGAGAUCGGGAGGAACACCUGAGGCGAAGGCGGGUUGCUAGGCUGACACUGACGCUGAGGCGCGAAAGCCAGGGGAGCAAACGGG